GAUGAAGAACGUAGCGAAAUGCGAUAAGUAAUGUGAAUUGCAGAAUUCAGUGAAUCAUCGAAUCUUUGAACGCACAUUGCGCCCGCCAGCACUCUGGCGGGCAUGCCUGUUCGAGCGUCAUUUCAACCAUCAAGCCCCCAGGGGCUUGUGCUGGGGCCCUGCGGCUGCCCGCAGGCCCUGAAAACCAGUGGCGGGCUCGCUAGUCACACCGAGCGCAGUAGCACAUCUCUCUCAGGGCGUGCGGCGGGCUCCUGCCGUGAAACCCCCCACUGUAACCCCAAAGGUUGACCUCGGAUCAGGUAGGAAUACCCGCUGAACUUAAGCAUAUCAAUAAGCGGAGGA
rnacentral:misc_RNA from 1 species